CCUACGGGAGGCAGCAGUGGGGAAUUUUGGACAAUGGGCGAAAGCCUGAUCCAGCCAUGCCGCGUGCAGGAUGAAGGCCUUCGGGUUGUAAACUGCUUUUGUACGGAACGAAAAGACUCCUUCUAAUAAAGGGGGUCCAUGACGGUACCGUAAGAAUAAGCACCGGCUAACUACGUGCCAGCAGCCGCGGUAAU
rnacentral:rRNA from 1 species